AUGGAGCUUUAGACCUAAAGUAAGUCACGUUUAACAUGCUAAAAUAACAGAAAAAACUUAGUGAUAUUUACUGAAGUGUCUUUGGUUGGGGCGACCGCGGGGUAAAACACAACCCCCAUGUGGACCGGGGAUAUUAUCCCUAAUACUCAGAGCCUCUACUCCAAGUAACAGAAAUUCUGACUUUUCUGAUCCGGUAUAACCGAUCAACGAACCG
rnacentral:rRNA from 1 species